rnacentral:rRNA from 1 species
CCUACGGGUGGCAGCAGUAGGGAAUCUUCCACAAUGGGCGAAAGCCUGAUGGAGCAACGCCGCGUGGGUGAAGAAGGUCUUCGGAUCGUAAAACCCUGUUGUUAGAGAAGAAAGUUCGUGAGAGUAACUGUUCACGUUUCGACGGUAUCUACCCAGAAAGCCCCGGCUAACUACGUGCCAGCAGCCGCGGUAAUACGUAGGUGGCAAGCGUUAUCCGGAUUUAUUGGGCGUAAAGGGAACGCAGGCGGUCUUUUAAGUCUGGUGUGAAAGCCUUCGGCUUAACCGGAGAAGUGCAUUUGAAACUGGGAGACUGGAGUGCAGAAGAGGAGAGUGGAACUCCAGGUGUAGCGGUGAAAUGCGUAGAUAUAUGGAAGAACACCAGUGGCGAAGGCGACUAGCUGGGCGGUAACUGACGCUGAGGUUCGAAAGCGUGGGUAGCAAACAGGAUUAGAUACCCGGGUAGUC